rnacentral:tRNA from 1 species
GGGGUUGUAGUUUAAUUUAUAAAACAUUUAAUUUGCAAUUAAGAAAUAUUUUAAUAAAAAUCUACCUCA